UACGUAGGGUGCAAGCGUUGUCCGGAAUUAUUGGGCGUAAAGAGCUUGUAGGCGGCUUGUCGCGUCUGCUGUGAAAUUUCGGGGCUCAACCCCGAACUUGCAGUGGGUACGGGCAGACUAGAGUGUGGGAGGGGAGACUGGAAUUCCUGGUGUAGCGGUGAAAUGCGCAGAUAUCGGGAGGAACACCAAUGGCGAAGGCAGCUCGCUGGGACGUUACUGACGCUGAGACGCGAAAGCGUGGGGAGCAAACAGG
rnacentral:rRNA from 1 species